GACGAACGCUGGCGGCGUGCUUAACACAUGCAAGUCGAGCGGUAAGGCCCUUUCGGGGGUACACGAGCGGCGAACGGGUGAGUAACACGUGGGUGACCUGCCCUUAGCUCUGGGAUAAGCCCGGGAAACUGGGUCUAAUACCGGAUAUGACUCCAUGACGCAUGUUGUGGGGUGGAAAGCCUUGUGCGGCUGAGGAUGGGCCCGCGGCCUAUCAGCUUGUUGGUGGGGUGAUGGCCUACCAAGGCGACGACGGGUAGCCGGCCUGAGAGGGCGACCGGCCACACUGGGACUGAGAUACGGCCCAGACUCCUACGGGAGGCAGCAGUGGGGAAUCUUGCGCAAUGGGCGAAAGCCUGACGCAGCGACGCCGCGUGAGGGAUGACGGCCU
rnacentral:rRNA from 1 species